rnacentral:rRNA from 1 species
GGAUAAUCGGAAGAAAUUCCGUCUAAUACCGCGUAACAUUCCGGGAGGGCAUCCUCUUGGGAUUAAAGGAGCGACCGGCUGCGGAUGGUCAUGCGGCGCAUUAGCUUGUUGGCGGGGUAACGGCCCACCAAGGCGACGAUGCGUAGGGGUUCUGAGAGGAAGGUCCCCCACACUGGUACUGAGACACGGACCAGACUCCUACGGGAGGCAGCAGUGAGGAAUAUUGGUCAAUGGCCGGGAGGCUGAACCAGCCAAGUCGCGUGAGGGAAGACGGCCCUACGGGUUGUAAACCUCUUUUGCCGGGGAGCAAAUGGCGGGACGCGUCCCGCGUCGAGAGUACCCGGAGAAAAAGCAUCGGCUAACUCCGUGCCAGCAGCCGCGGUAAUACGGAGGAUGCGAGCGUUAUCCGGAUUUAUUGGGUUUAAAGGGUGCGCAGGCGGGAUGUCAAGUCAGCGGUAAAAUCGGGAGGCUCAACCUCUCUCAGCCGUUGAAACCGGCGUUCUUGAGUGGGCGAGAAGUAUGCGGAAUGCGUGGUGUAGCGGUGAAAUGCAUAGAUAUCACGCAGAACCCCGAUUGCGAAGGCAGCAUACCGGCGCCCGACUGACGCUCAUGCACGAAAGCGUGGGUAUCGAACAGGAUUAGAUACCCUGGUAGUCCACGCAGUAAACG